GCGAGGAUGGCGGAAUUGGUAGACGCGCUAGCUUCAGGUGUUAGUGUUCUUACGGACGUGGGGGUUCAAGUCCCCCCCUUCGCACCA
rnacentral:tRNA from 1 species